rnacentral:rRNA from 1 species
UGAAAAAAAAUAAUGGGGGGAAAGCUCGGGGAACUCGAAUUAAUACCGCAUACGACCUACGGGAGAAAGGGGGCAACUUGUUGCUCUCGCUAUUAGAUGAGCCUAAGUCGGAUUAGCUAGAUGGUGGGGUAAAGGCCUACCAUGGCGACGAUCUGUAGCUGGUCUGAGAGGAUGAUCAGCCACACCGGGACUGAGACACGGCCCGGACUCCUACGGGAGGCAGCAGUGGGGAAUAUUGGACAAUGGGGGAAACCCUGAUCCAGCCAUGCCGCGUGUGUGAAGAAGGCCUUUUGGUUGUAAAGCACUUUAAGCAGUGAAGAAGACUCUUCGGUUAAUACCCGGAGACGAUGACAUUAGCUGCAGAAUAAGCACCGGCUAACUCUGUGCCAGCAGCCGCGGUAAUACAGAGGGUGCAAGCGUUAAUCGGAAAUUACUGGGCGUA